rnacentral:rRNA from 1 species
ACAGCAGCCGCCGCGGUAAUACAGAGGGUGCGAGCGUUAAUCGGAUUUACUGGGCGUAAAGCGUGCGUAGGCGGCUUCUUAAGUCGGAUGUGAAAUCCCUGAGCUUAACUUAGGAAUUGCAUUCGAUACUGGGAAGCUAGAGUAUGGGAGAGGAUGGUAGAAUUCCAGGUGUAGCGGUGAAAUGCGUAGAGAUCUGGAGGAAUACCGAUGGCGAAGGCAGCCAUCUGGCCUAAUACUGACGCUGAGGUACGAAAGCAUGGGGAGCAAACAGGAUUAGAGACCCCUGUAGUCCCUGUCUCUUAUAC